GACGAACGCUGGCGGCGUGCUUAACACAUGCAAGUCGAACGGAAAGGCCCUGCUUGCAGGGUACUCGAGUGGCGAACGGGUGAGUAACACGUGGGUGAUCUGCCCUGCACUUCGGGAUAAGCCUGGUAAACUGGGUCUAAUACCGGAUAGGAGCCAUUUUUAGUGUGAUUGUUGGAAAGUUUUUUCGGUGUAGGAUGAGCUCGCUGCCUAUCAGCUUGUUGGUGGGGUAAUGGCCUACCAAGGCGGCGACGGGUAGCCGGCCUGAGAGGGUGGACGGCCAAAAUGGGAAUGAGAUAAGGCACAGACUCCUAAGGGAGGCAGAAGUGGGGAAUAUUGAACAAGGGGGGCAAGCCUGAUGCAGCGAAGCCGCGUGGGGGAUGACGGCCUUCGGGUUGUAAACUCAUUUCGCUAGGGACGAAGCUUUUUGUGACGGUACCUAGAUAAGAAGCACCGGCUAACUACGUG
rnacentral:rRNA from 1 species